rnacentral:rRNA from 1 species
UUAAACCCAAUUGUUUUUAGUGUAUCUUCUGAGUAACAUAAACAAAUAAAUCAAAACUUUCAACAACGGAUCUCUUGGUUCUGGCAUCGAUGAAGAACGCAGCAAAAUGCGAUAAGUAAUGUGAAUUGCAGAAUUCAGUGAAUCAUCGAAUCUUUGAACGCACAUUGCGCCCGCCAGUAUUCUGGCGGGCAU